rnacentral:tRNA from 1 species
AUUUUCUUAGUAUAAUAGUACAGGUGGCUUCCAACCACCAAGCCCUGGUUUAACCCCGGGAGAAAAUA